GCGUGAGUGAUGAAGGCCCUAGGGUUGUAAAGCUCUUUCAACGGUGACGAUGAUGACGGUAGCCGUAGAAGAAGCCCCGGCUAACUUCGUGCCAGCAGCCGCGGUAAUACGAAGGGGGCUAGCGUUGUUCGGAUUUACUGGGCGUAAAGCGCACGUAGGCGGCGGAUCAAGUCAGGGGUGAAAGGCCGGGGCUCAACCUUGGAACUGCCUUUGAUACUGAUCUGCUUGAGUCCGAGAGAGGGUGGUGGAACUCCAAGUGUAGAGGUGAAAUUCGU
rnacentral:rRNA from 1 species